CUCCGGUUGAUCCCGCCGGACCCGACUGCUAUCAGAGUGGGACUAAGCCAUGCGAGUCAACAUAGCAAUAUGUGGCAUACGGCUCAGUAACACGUAGUCAACAUGCCCAGGGGACGUGGAUAACCUCGGGAAACUGAGGAUAAACCGCGAUAGGUCAUCACUUCUGGAAUGGGUAAUGACUUAAAUCUAUAUGGCCCCUGGAUUGGACUGCGGCCGAUCAGGCUGUUGGUGAGGUAAUGGCCCACCAAACCUGUAACCGGUACGGGCUCUGAGAGGAGGAGCCCGGAGAUGGGCACUGAGACAAGGGCCCAGGCCCUAUGGGGCGCAGCAGGCGCGAAACCUCUGCAAUAGGCGAAAGCUUGACAGGGUUACUCUGAGUGAUUUCCGUUAAGGAGAUCUUUUGGCACCUCUAAAAAUGGUGCAGAAUAAGGGGUGGGCAAGUCUGGUGUCAGCCGCCGCGGUAAUACCAGCACCCCGAGUGGUCGGGACGUUUAUUGGGCCUAAAGCAUCCGUAGCCGGUUCUACAAGUCUUCCGUUAAAUCCACCUGCUUAACAGAUGGGCUGCGGAAGAUACUAUAGAGCUAGGAGGCGGGAGAGGCAAGCGGUACUCGAUGGGUAGGGGUAAAAUCCGUUGAUCCAUUGAAGACCACCAGUGGCGAAGGCGGCUUGCCAGAACGCGCUCGACGGUGAGGGAUGAAAGCUGGGGGAGCAAACCGGAUUAGAUACCCGGGUAGUCCCAGCUGUAAACGAUGCAGACUCGGUGAUGAGUUGGCUUAUUGCUAACUCAGUGCCGCAGGGAAGCCGUUAAGUUUGCAAGCUGGGGCGUACGGUCGCAAGACUGAAACUUAAAGGAAUUGGCGGGGGAGCC
rnacentral:rRNA from 1 species